rnacentral:rRNA from 1 species
CCUACGGGAGGCAGCAGUGAGGAAUAUUGGUCAAUGGGCGCGAGCCUGAACCAGCCAAGUAGCGUGAAGGAUGACUGCCCUACGGGUUGUAAACUUCUUUUAUAAAGGAAUAAAGUGCGGCACGUGUGCCUUUUUGUAUGUACUUUAUGAAUAAGGAUCGGCUAACUCCGUGCCAGCAGCCGCGGUAAUACGGAGGAUCCGAGCGUUAUCCGGAUUUAUUGGGUUUAACGGGUGCGUAGGCGGCCUUUUAAGUCAGCGGUGAAAGUCUGUGGCUCAACCAUAGAAUUGCCGUUGAAACUGGGGGGCUUGAGUAUGUUUGAGGCAGGCGGAAUGCGUGGUGUAGCGGUGAAAUGCUUAGAUAUCACGCAGAACCCCGAUGGCGAAGGCAGCCUGCCAAGCCAUGACUGACGCUGAUGCACGAAAGCGUGGGGAUCAAACAGGAUUAGAUACCCCAGUAGUC